UACAGAGGGUGCGAGCGUUAAUCGGAAUUACUGGGCGUAAAGCGCGCGUAGGCGGCUUUGCAAGUCGGGUGUGAAAUCCCCGAGCUUAACUUGGGAACUGCAUUCGAGACUGCAUUGCUAGAGUAUGGGAGAGGGAAGUGGAAUUUCCGGUGUAGCGGUGAAAUGCGUAGAUAUCGGAAGGAACAUCAGUGGCGAAAGCGACUUCCUGGACCAAUACUGACGCUCAUGUGCGAAAGCGUGGGGAGCAAACAGG
rnacentral:rRNA from 1 species